UACGGAGGGUGCAAGCGUUAUCCGGAUUCACUGGGUUUAAAGGGUGCGUAGGCGGAUUGGUAAGUCCGUGGUGAAAUCCCCGAGCUUAACUUGGGAACUGCCGUGGAUACUAUCAGUCUUGAAUAUCGCGGAGGUAAGCGGAAUAUGUCAUGUAGCGGUGAAAUGCUUAGAUAUGACAUAGAACACCAAUUGCGUAGGCAGCUUACUACUCGAUCAUUGACGCUGAGGCACGAAAGCGUGGGGAGCGAACAGG
rnacentral:rRNA from 1 species